AAAGGAUCGAACCAGCCAGGAGUCGAACCUGGAAUCUUCUGAUCCGUAGUCAGACGCGUUAUCCAUUGCGCCACUGGUCCGCUGUAUGUUGCCUCGCCUGUGAGUCGAUAUCGAAUCUACCAAGAAUUGGCCAAUCACCGCUCCUAUCAUCUACGAAGAAUUGGCCAAUCAGCGCUCGUAUCAUCUACCAAAAAUUGGCCAAUCAACGCUCGUAUCAUCUGCCAAAAAUUGGCCAAUCAGCGAUCGUAUAUCGCUGUUACUACGAAGAAUGACCUCGUGGACAUACGAACCCUGGCCAAUCAGCGCUCGUAUCGCUACCAAAAAUUGAAAUUUUCAAGCGUGACAUUACGAAAAUCUUCACUUCACUUCAGUACUUUGAUUUGAAGAGUGACAUUACAAAAUUACGAAAAUCUUCACACCUUUCAUUUGAUUACUUCACUUCACUUCACUUCUUACCAACAUUUCCGAGGUAAGUCAGUCCUUUCUAGCUAUUUUCAAUACGAAUAAAUUGGCAAAUAUCACGUUAACAUAUCCGACAAAUGCCAAAAGUCUGCUUCGACGAUAGGUCGUCGUUCAUCAUUGUAACGUGUAUGAAUUCGACGUAUAAGGUAAUGUGUAUGUUCAGUAUUGUAUUUUAUUGAAUAGGUAACGUUAGUUGUAUUAGUUUUAAAAUGUCAAAAAAGCCCGUUACCGUUGGAACACGCAAGACCAGUAAACCAGAGUGGUAGAUAUAACAGAGUGGCGACACUUCCAUUGGACUCCGUUGUAGCGCCUACUUCCGGGGUAUGGAGCCUCGAAUAGUUCCAAACAACCAUUUUACGGCGUAGGAGACCAUUCAUUUCCAUUGCUGGCCGCCGAGUAACUUCUGAGACGACCGAUUGCCUGCUGGUUUGUGAGCUCGACUUCGCCAUGUGAAGGGUGAUGUUCAGCACAUGAAGCCCUACAGAUGCCGCCGCUUCAACAAUGCUGAUUAUGAUGGGCGGUGAAUUUAACCUGUAUGGCUUUUUCGUUUUAACUUCUUGUUGACUGUUUCUCUGUUAUAUGUAUUUUGCCUUUGCAUUUGCAACUACUGUCAUCUCCAAUGUAAGAAAAUCAAUUAAAGCGAAUCAUUUCUGUAAUGUGAAUUAAAUCAUCUGUCACAAUCCGAAACCAAUAAAAUGUAUAAAUGGAUCUACUGGCAAUUGUUAAUUGGGUAGAAAUGUGUCGAUUAUCUACAUUGUUUGCAAAUCCUCAGAGAAUCCCUGACCUCUGGUUGUUUUUUAAACUGAAUGUACAAACAUGAAUUAUGUAAUCUCAUUAGGAGUGUAGUCUAUCCUUGUAUUACAUGAAAUGGGGAAUAUUGUUAGCUGCAUGGAUCAUACCGAAGUUUAAUUUGGUGAAAUAUGUGUGGUCCGUUGCACUUGGUUCUGGAGGCACCCUCACAGAAGGGGGUUUCCUCCUCUUCGGCUUAGGGCGAUGAAUGAAAACUCUUCAACAUCCCUUCUCUUUUUGUGGCAGUGAAUUGGUCAUCUUCAAAGUGUACCUUUAUAGGUAGGCUUGUAAGAUCAGUUUCCAUUGCACUUCAAAUAUCAUUGAAAAGUCAUAAUUCUCUACACUUAGAAUUAUUAUGCCCUUUGAAAUGCUAUCAAGUGAUGUGAACAUUACUUGCAUUACAUCGUUUUUGACGGUUGUUGACCCCUGUCACUUGUACGUUUUGACGGCUGACCAUUGCCAUCCAUUUCUUCCUGCGCUCUUGGUCCUUGGGGAAGCCAUACAUGUGGUAACCCUUCUCGGACCGAUUGGAGCAUCCAAACGCUGCACAGCCAACCAUGGUAUUACCAUUGAUCUAAACCAAUUUUGAAUUUGCUCAGGGCUAUUAUAAGUAUUGUAAUGGCAUAAAGUAUAGUAUAUUUGCUACGUUAUAUGUUAAUGGUUUGCCCUAAGUAUAUUAUAUAGUGUUCCCUGCUGUGUCCAUUGUUGAAUCUGUUCACACAAUCACUCACUGGUCUUGUCACACUAAUUGUUUAAUAAAAAAAAAACUUUCAUUCAUCUAAGCG
ensembl:lncRNA